rnacentral:rRNA from 1 species
AACGAACGCUGGCGGCAGGCCUAACACAUGCAAGUCGAACGCCCCGCCAGGGGAGUGGCAGACGGGUGAGUAACACGUGGGAACCUUCCCUAUAGUACGGAAUAGCCCAGGGAAACUUGGAGUAAUACCGUAUACGCCCGAAAGGGGAAAGAAUUUCGCUAUAGGAUGGGCCCGCGUAGGAUUAGCUAGUUGGUGAGGUAAUGGCUCACCAAGGCGACGAUCCUUAGCUGGUUUGAGAGAACGACCAGCCACACUGGGACUGAGACACGGCCCAGACUCCUACGGGAAGCAGCAGUGGGGAAUAUUGGACAAUGGGCGCAAGCCUGAUCCAGCCAUGCCGCGUGAGUGAUGAAGGCCUUAGGGUUGUAAAGCUCUUUUGGCGGGGACGAUAAUGACGGUACCCGCAGAAUAAGUCCCGGCUAACUUCGUG